AGCCCAGCCUCCAGGGAGGAAGGGAGAACUUCCUGCCACUCUCACUGAUCUUGUGAUUCCACUUCCUGUUAUCCAGGCUCCUGGUUCUUUAACAGCAAAUCUGUUCUACAUUCCUGCAUUCCUCAGGACCUGGCUCAAAAGUUACUCUCUUUAUGAAGUUGUCUCUGAAACCGGCACGCAUAGGCAGAACUGCUCAUCCAGGAAUUGAUUCUCUCCAUAAAGUCGUCACACUCGUUUUCCAGAGCAUAUUCAUCUUUCAGCACAAAGGAAGACUUCUCCAGGAAGCAAUUCCUACCUAAGCCUCUAGGUUGAAGAGGAGCCCCCUUCUCUGCUCCAGUGUCAUGUGGGUAGUCACUUUUAUUUGUGUGACUCUUUACUGGAUUGUAAAAUUUUUGUUGUUUUGGGAAGAGCUUGCUAAAUUGCCCAGGUUAACAUUGAACUCACAACUUCUUCACCUCAGCCUUCAAAAUAGCUGGGAUUAUAGGCACAGAUCACUGUGUUAGGCUUUACUGUGAGUUUGGUUCAUUUGAAAGCCCUGUCUGGGGGAAUCGAUCCCAUAGCCAAGGCCCAAGACAGAAUUAACAUUUGGUUAAUAAUGGCUGUCAGGACUAUUGACUGAACAUGCUCCUACUGUCUUCUAGAUAAUGUAGAUGCUUCUAACUUUACGUUACUGAGGUAAGCUGACCCCUCCAUCUCAUCUAAGCAUAGCGUUCCUGACCCCCACCCCAAUAUCUAACAGUGAGUAACUAUGCCACAUCAAAUAUUGCACUAUAUUAAAUCCCAGGGGUUUUGGUCAGCUCUUCCUUUCUGAACGCCUUACAAUGUGUAACACAUCUCUAGGUCUGCUUAAUCUGUAGAAUGGGGAUUAUAACAUUUUAAUUGGUAGAGUUCUAUAAGGAAAAAAUGAAAUACCAUAUAUUAAUUUUUUUUCCUGAGAUUGGAGAGAUGGCUCAGCAAUUUAGAAUACUGGCUUCUCUUCCAGAGGACCUGGGUUCAACUCUCAGCACAUGACAGCUAACAAAAAUAUGGUAUACAUAACUUUGGAAUAGGGGACCUGAAAUCCUAUUCUGACCUCUGUGGGCACCAGGCACAUAUGUAGUGUACAGACAAAUACAUAUAGCAAAAUAUCCAUACAUAUAAAAUAAAUAAAAGUUAAAAAAAUAAAAUCUUUCGCUCUAGGCUGAGGACUAGUCCACAUACUCACCCUGCACUUGAGGGUCUUGUUGUUCUCAUGGUAUUUCCCUCGGUGAUAAAGGAUGACCUGUAGUCUGUUGUUGCCAAAGCCACAGAUGUCUGGGCCUGGAAAUUAAACCCCAGAGCAUGAUUUCACAUCUAUUUCAGGCAGUGUGCCCAGUUUGAGGCCAAGACCCAAGACAGAUGCAGCCUGUGUAUCACUCCGUGGUUCCAGAAAGAGACAGAUGCCACACUCAAAGUCAGGAUUAUUUGAGAAGGAUUUAAUAAAUGGGAUUUUUUUUUAACAAAGGGGGAGGCAAGACUUUGAGAGAAGGAAAGGUACAGUGAUUCUCAUGGGUAGCAGCACCAAAGGGGACAGGAGGAGUGAGAGAGAGUCUGGGAGCAAGCACAGCAGGAGAGAUGUAGGCUUUGAGUUAAGAGAUAUAACUCUCUUCUCUUCCUCUAAUCUCCUGCCAGAGCUCCAUGACCAAACCAACGGAAGCCUUCUGAAGUCAGGUAUCUUAGCUAGGGCGGCUAUUGCUGUGAUGAAACACCAUGACCAAAAGGUGAAGAAACUGAAAUUCAGAAUCUCUCUCAAGAGCCCACUUUAUGGGGAAGGGAGCAAGCCAGGUUUGCAUCCAGGUCUAUUCAACACGGAAGUCUGGACUUUCAAGCUCUGGAUUAUAUAACUUCCCUCGAGGCCACGUGUGUGAAAAACCCAUUAUAACCUAAAAAGUGGGUACUUAAUAAUAGGUCGGUCUUGUGAUGUUCUAUAAUUUUUGUACAAUUUGGACAAUGUCUCUCUUUCCCGAGUUCCAAGAUUAUUGCGUUGGCCAUUGUGUUCCAGUGUGUAACACAGAGUAAACUGCCCAAGAUCAUUGCUGAACGAGUGAAGAGACUCAUGGUUUUGCCUUUUGUCUAAGCCGUAACAUUCUCAACCUUACCACUGAAGGGGCAGUUCCUAAUCACUCACAUGACACAUGUUGACUGAGCCCACCAAACCUGUAGAAAGAAUUAUACAGCUUUGGCCUUGAGCUCCAGGGUAGAAGAGAUCAAAACAGAAUUUCAAAGUUCACAAUCUUAAUUAUUCUUCAGGGUGAAGAGUAUUGAUAUAAGUUGAACCUGACAUGAUUUAAGUUAUCUCAAAAUAAGGAGCUUCUCUUGGGGCUAGAAAGUCGGUCAACAGUUAGGAGCAUGUGCUGCUCUUCCAGAGGCCUAUGUUUGCUUUACAGCACCCACAUGGUGGUUCCCUUGUAACUCCAGUUCUAGGGAACAUGAUACUUCUUCUGACCUCUGUAGGCUCUUUCACACACAUGGUACGAAUACAUACACCGAGACGCAUACACAUGAACUAAAGCAAGUAUUUAAAAAAUGGUAGCUUCUCUGUAGGAAAACAAUGUCAUGUAAUUAAUAAAGUCCUACUUAAAACACACCAUGCUUUUCUUCUUAAUCUUAAAGCAUCUUAAUAUCAGAAAAGGCUUAGGUUAGAGUGACUAACUGGUCAUUUACUUUUACUUCUACAUAUUGCAGAUAAGGAAACUGAGGCCCACAGAAGGAAGUGACCCAUUGGUGGACACUUAGUUUCAAAGCUGCACAUCUGAUUCUAGAGCCAGGUCUUCUGCAAACAUUUAUGGAGCAUUUGCUUUGUGUCAGGCACCUAGCACACAGACAGGAAUCUGACAGGUCCCCUUCAGAGACCUAUGAUCCUCAGGGGAGUCAGGAAGUCUAAUGGAAGAGGCCCUCCAGUAAGCAACUGAACAGUAACCAGACAGACAAGUGAAGCAUCAGAGCGGAGGACAGCACGGAGUAUAUGAGAUUCCACAAAUCAUAGGCUACUAACCAUCAGGGAGAGCUUCGGAGAAAGUGGAAACUGAAAUACUGAAAUGGCAGGAAGGUGAGGCGUGGGUGUGCUGAACAGAAAAGUUGCACAUCAAAAGACCAGAGAGGGAGAGGGUGCAGGGGGAGAGGAGAGCAGUGCAUUAGCUGAGGUUGGAGGCUCUUCUACCUGCUAAAUCUUCCCUCUAAAUUGGCUAAAUAUUUAUCUCCAAAGAGCGCUCUAACAAAAAGCAAUGUGUUCAGGAGCUGGCACAUCUAACUGAUAAAUGGACACAAUCUUCCGCAAACCUGUGCAGAUAUAGAAAGGCGAGGAGGUCACACAACUGUAAAACCUGCAAAAUACUGGGCAUGGGGACUCAUCUUCUCCACUAGCUUCAGAAAAAUGUUUAACGUUUUUAAGACCCAAUUUUUCAUCGAUAGAAAAUAUUACCUGAUUCACAGGGUUUCUGGAAGAAUUUUUAAAAAUAGCAAUGCAACACAGGGAUGGGCUCAAUAAACUACUGGAGGUUGUAUUUGCAUAUAUGUGUGUGUGUAAGUGUGUGUGUAUGUGUGUGUGUGUGUGUAAGAACGAUAUAUAACAUUAGCAAUAACAUAACAUCAGAGAGAUACGUAACAUAUAUUUGGUUUGAAAGUAAAAGUUGCUCUUUUCCCAGUGGAGACAAAUAAAAAUCCAUUAUAAGCUUGCAUAAUUAGAUAAAAAUACACAUUUGCUAUAUUUACUCAAUGCGGUUAGCUUGCAUUCUAUAGAGAAUUUUAAAGAUAACCUCUCUUUCUCUCUAUGCAUAUAUUUCUCUCUUUCUCUUUGAUCCUUUUUCCUCUUGCUCUCUCUCCUCCCCUCUUCCAGUCUUCCUUAGUGACCCAAGCUGACCUCAGAAUCAUGAUCCUUCUACCUCUGCUCCCUGAGUUCUAGAAUUAAUGGUGUGUUCCACUGUGCCUAGCUUAUAUCUACUAUUAAUUUUCCAUGGAAAAUUCUAGACACCGUAGAAGAUUCCUGACUUCUUUUUUUAAGAUUUAUUCAUUUAAAAAUUAAAUU
rnacentral:sRNA from 1 species